GCUAGGCAACUGAGGAAGCUCAACAUCUAAAAAAGUUGAUACAAGACUAUAUUGCUUCUUUCAUCAAAGUAGGAGAUAAGAAUGACUUUCAUAAGUACGUCGCUGAGAAUCUAGAUAGUUCGGUUCAAUUGACACCUGAACUGUCCACUCAGAUUUGGAAAGAAAGAGUGGUAGGGGGGACACACAAG